rnacentral:rRNA from 1 species
AUGAGAUCUGCCCCGAUGAAGUAUCAGAAUGCCGGCAGCCACCGCCCAUCUGUGGCGCAUGCACAAAUGCCCCGUUUACUUUCCAUGGUUACAUCCUUCGAUCCUGCUAUGCUCCUGCUUGUCAGUUACGAUGCUGUAACAGCUGUUUCGUCGAUUACAGUCAUGGGCAUUUGGGGAAUUUGUGGAUUUGGAGCUAGAAGAAUUAGCACUGACCUGAUGAUAGCGCCACGCGAGCUAACUAUGUGCUGCUGCAUGGUGCAAUGCUGUUUUGGCAGUGGCAGUGAUUUGGUUGGCGUGGUGCCGUGGAGUUGUUGA